UACGAAGGGGGGCUAGCGUUGCUCGGAAUCACUGGGCGUAAAGGGUGCGUAGGCGGGUCUUUUAAGUCAGGGGUGAAAUCCUGGAGCUCAACUCCAGAACUGCCUUUGAUACUGAAGAUCUUGAGUCCGGGAGAGGUGAGUGGAACUGCGAGUGUAGAGGUGAAAUUCGUAGAUAUUCGCAAGAACACCAGUGGCGAAGGCGGCUCACUGGCCCGGUACUGACGCUGAGGCACGAAAAGCGUGGGGGAGCAAACAGG
rnacentral:rRNA from 1 species